CCUACGGGUGGCAGCAGUGAGGGAUAUUGGUCAAUGGGCGAAACCCUGAACCAGCAACGCCGCGUGAGGGAAGACGGUUUUCGGAUUGGAAACCUCUGUCCUCUGUGAAGAUAAUGACGGUAGCAGUGGAGGAAGCUCCGGCUAAAUACGUGCCAGCAGCCGCGGUAAUACGUAGGGAGCAAGCGUUGUCCGGAUUUACUGGGUGUAAAGGGUGAGUAGGCGGGCUUGCAAGUCAGGAGUGAAAUCUAUGGGGUUAAACCAUAAACUGCGGUUGAAACUGUAAGGCUUGAGUGAAGGAGAGGUAGGCGGAAUGCCCGGUGUAGCGGUGAAAUGCGUAGAGAUUGGGAGGAACACCAGUGGCGAAGGCGGCAUACUGGGCUUUAACUGACGCUGAGGCACGAAAGCGUGGGUAGCGAACAGGAUUAGAUACCCCUGUAGUC
rnacentral:rRNA from 1 species